rnacentral:rRNA from 1 species
UCGGGGUGCCCAGGCGCGAAAACUUUACAAUGCUGGCAACAGCGAUAAGGGGACCUCGGGUGCCAGGAUACAAUCCUGGCUGUCGUAAUGCCUAAAAAGCAUUGCAUAGCAAGGGCCGGGCAAGACCGGUGCCAGCCGCCGCGGUAACACCGGCGGCUCGAGUGGUAACCGCUAUUAUUGGGUCUAAAGGGUCUGUAGCCGGCUGACUAAGUCUCUUGGGAAAUCUGGCAGCUCAACUGUCAGGCUUUCAGGAGAUACUGAUCGGCUCGAGACCGGGAGAGGUGAGAGGUACCUCAGGGGUAGGGGUGAAAUCUUGUAAUCCUUGAGGGACCACCAGUGGCGAAGGCGUCUCACCAGAACGGAUCUGACGGCAAGGGACGAAAGCUAGGGGCACGAACCGGAUUAGAUACCCGGGUAGUCCUAGCCGUAAACGAUACUCGCUAGGUGUCGGCCACGGUGCGACCGUGGUCGGUGCCGUAGGGAAGCCGUGAAGCGAGCCACCUGGGAAGUACGGCCGCAAGGCUGAAACUUAAAGGAAUUGGCGGGGGAGCAC